GCUGGGUGGGCACAAGCUAAUCAGCUGCCAGCACAGCCAGAAUAAAAGCAAGGAGAAGAACGAGGAAAAACCAGACAGGCUUAGCCUCAAGAUACAUCUUUCUCCCAUGCUGGGUGCUUCCUGCCUUCCAACAUUGGACUCCAAGUUCUUCAGCUUUAGGAUUUGGACUGGCCUCCUUCUUCCUCAGCUUGCAGACAGCCUAUUGUGGGACCUCACCUUGUGAUCGUCUCCUAGGCAGUGUUCUGUCGGGUAAUAGAGACCUUAAAUGCAUGGAUGAAGAGAUGCCUUGAACAAGACACAGAGGCACUAUGCGCUGGAGACCAGGACUGGGCUCUGAGGGCAGUACAGGGACAUCACCUGUGUCCUCAGAAGGCUCUAUCAGCUGUGUGGGCUGAGAUCACCCUCAAGGACUGCUUGACCCCAAGCUCAGCUGCACUUGGUUCAUUUUACCGACACUGCAGAGCCACAGG